rnacentral:rRNA from 1 species
AGAGUUUGAUCCUGGCUCAGGAUGAACGCUAGCGACAGGCUUAACACAUGCAAGUCGAGGGGCAGCAUGAUUUGUAGCAAUACAGAUUGAUGGCGACCGGCGCACGGGUGAGUAACGCGUAUGCAACUUACCUAUCAGAGGGGGAUAGCCCGGCGAAAGUCGGACUAAUACCGCAUGAAGCAGGGGCCCCGCAUGGGGAUAUUUGCUAAAGAUUCAUCGCUGAUAGAUAGGCAUGCGUUCCAUUAGGCAGUUGGCGGGGUAACGGCCCACCAAACCGACGAUGGAUAGGGGUUCUGAGAGGAAGGUCCCCCACAUUGGUACUGAGACACGGACCAAACUCCUACGGGAGGCAGCAGUGAGGAAUAUUGGUCAAUGGGCGUAAGCCUGAACCAGCCAAGUCGCGUGAGGGAUGAAGGUUCUAUGGAUCGUAAACCUCUUUUAUAAGGGAAUAAAGUGCGGGACGUGUCCCGUUUUGUAUGUACCUUAUGAAUAAGGAUCGGCUAACUCCGUGCCAGCAGCCGCGGUAAUACGGAGGAUCCGAGCGUUAUCCGGAUUUAUUGGGUUUAAAGGGUGCGUAGGUGGUGAUUUAAGUCAGCGGUGAAAGUUUGUGGCUCAACCAUAAAAUUGCCGUUGAAACUGGGUUACUUGAGUGUGUUUGAGGUAGGCGGAAUGCGUGGUGUAGCGGUGAAAUGCAUAGAUAUCACGCAGAACUCCGAUUGCGAAGGCAGCUUACUAAACCAUAACUGACACUGAAGCACGAAAGCGUGGGGAUCAAACAGGAUUAGAUACCCUGGUAGUCCACGCAGUAAACGAUGAUCACUAGCUGUUUGCGAUACACUGUAAGCGGCACAGCGAAAGCGUUAAGUGAUCCACCUGGGGAGUACGCCGGCAACGGUGAAACUCAAAGGAAUUGACGGGGGCCCGCACAAGCGGAGGAACAUGUGGUUUAA